CAUGUGUAAAAAAACUUGAGAGUGUCAAGUGUCAUCAUCUCACCAUUAAUUUUAUUUUAUUUUAUUUUUCAUUUAUUAUCUACACAAAAGUUAAUAGUGAGAUGGUAAAACUUGACACUCACAAAUUUUUUUACACUUG
rnacentral:pre_miRNA from 1 species